UGCAAAUGACAUAUUGGAUAAAAGGAACCUAUAAACCAAGAAUGAUAAUCUUCAUUUCACUCAAGAAGCUUAAGUGUUACUGCUUGCACAAAACUAGGUAUGCCUUGUGAUUUUUUGUUGUUGUUGUUGAAAGCUGAACAUCUUGUGUAAAAGAACAGAGAUCAAGGUAAAUAGUUUUUAUGCUGGAAAAGAGACAAGCUUUUUCUUUUCCUAGGCCUUUAGGGGACAUUUGCAUGUACCUUGUUUUAUUAUACUUCACAGACACUGCUUUUACAAACUGAAAAACAAUCCUAUGUUGAACAAGGCUAUCCAUGCAAUUUUUCCAAUGACAUUUACUUGCCUCGUGUCUCUUUGUCACAUUUUGGUAAUUCUUACAAUAUCUGAACCUUUUUCAAAUAUUAUAUUUGUUAUGGUGAUCUUUGACUAGAGACCUUUGAUGUUAUUAUUGCCACUAAUUGGGGGCACCACAAACUGUGCCUAAAAUAAGAUAGCAAAUUCUCAAUAAAUGUUCUGUGUUCUGACUA